UUUAAUUGAAGAGUUUGAUCAUGGCUCAGAUUGAACGCUGGCGGCAGGCCUAACACAUGCAAGUCGAGCGGCAGCACAGAGGAACUUGUUCCUUGGGUGCGAGCGGCGGACGGGUGAGUAAUGCCUGGGAAAUUGCCCGGUAGAGGGGGAUAACCAUUGGAAACGAUGGCUAAUACCGCAUAACCUCGCAAGAGCAAAGCAGGGGACCUUCGGGCCUUGCGCUACCGGAUAUGCCCAGGUGGGAUUAGCUAGUUGGUGAGGUAAGGGCUCAC
rnacentral:rRNA from 1 species